rnacentral:tRNA from 1 species
GGCCACAUGGCGCAGUGGUUAAGCGCUUGGCAAACAUUAGUGUGGAAUACUAAUGUAAUAGGUUCGAAUUUCAUUGUGGUCU